rnacentral:tRNA from 1 species
GGAGGGAUGGCCGAGCGGUCGAAGGCGGCGGUCUUGAAAAUCGCUGUAGGGGUAACUCUACCGGGGGUUCGAAUCCCUCUCCCUCCGCCA